CCGAGACUCAGUGAAAUUGAACUCGCUGUGAAGAUGCAGUGUACCCGCGGCAAGACGGAAAGACCCCGUGAACCUUUACUAUAGCUUGACACUGAACAUUGAGCCUUGAUGUGUAGGAUAGGUGGGAGGCUUUGAAGUGUGGACGCCAGUCUGCAUGGAGCCGACCUUGAAAUACCACCCUUUAAUGUUUGAUGUUCUAACGUGGACCCGUAAUCCGGGUUGCGGACAGUGUCUGGUGGGUAGUUUGACUGGGGCGGUCUCCUCCUAAAGAGUAACGGAGGAGCACGAAGGUUGGCUAAUCCUGGUCGGACAUCAGGAGGUUAGUGCAAUGGCAUAAGCCAGCUUGACUGCGAGCGUGACGGCGCGAGCAGGUGCGAAAGCAGGUCAUAGUGAUCCGGUGGUUCUGAAUGGAAGGGCCAUCGCUCAACGGAUAAAAGGUACUCCGGGGAUAACAGGCUGAUACCGCCCAAGAGUUCAUAUCGACGGCGGUGUUUGGCACCUCGAUGUCGGCUCAUCACAUCCUGGGGCUGAAGUAGGUCCCAAGGGUAUGGCUGUUCGCCAUUUAAAGUGGUACGCGAGCUGGGUUUAGAACGUCGUGAGACAGUUCGGUCCCUAUCUGCCGUGGGCGCUGGAGAAUUGAGGGGGGCUGCUCCUAGUACGAGAGGACCGGAGUGGACGCAUCACUGGUGUUCGGGUUGUCAUGCCAAUGGCACUGCCCGGUAGCUAAAUGCGGAAGAGAUAAGUGCUGAAAGCAUCUAAGCACGAAACUUGCCCCGAGAUGAGUUCUCCCUGACUCCUUGAGAGUCCUGAAGGAACGUUGAAGACGACGACGUUGAUAGGCCGGGUGUGUAAGCGCAGCGAUGCGUUGAGCUAACCGGUACUAAUGAACCGUGAGGCUUAACCUU
rnacentral:rRNA from 1 species